rnacentral:lncRNA from 1 species
GCCUGGGCUGUUGGGAUCUCUAAAAAAAAUUAAGAUGGUUCCUCCAACCUUGGUUAUAUGUAUUCGAGAAUGGAUCAUUAACCGACUUGGAGUAGCCUUAUGCAACUUAGACUUAUUCUUGGAUGAAAGGUGGAAACUGUGCAGCCGUGAGAUAUUCACUCACAUGAUGGGCUGGGCUAGCAUAGAUAGAAUAAAUCUUCUGAUAAUUAGAAGGUGAUGUAUAUUGUGCGGGAGAUUGCUGUUCUAGGACUAAAAAUUGAUCUAACUUCUAGACAAAAAGAUUGAUUUUAUCUAAUUUUUGAGCUAUCAGG